rnacentral:rRNA from 1 species
UACGUAGGUGGCAAGCGUUGUCCGGAUUUAUUGGGUUUAAAGGGUGCGUAGGCGGCCCUGUAAGUCAGUGCUGAAAUAUCCCAGCUUAACUGGGAGGGUGGCAUUGAUACUGCGGGGCUAGAGUACAGAUGAGGUAGGCGGAAUUGACGGUGUAGCGGUGAAAUGCGCAGAUAUCGGGAGGAACACCUAUGGCGAAGGCAGCUCGCUGGGACGUUACUGACGCUGAGACGCGAAAGCGUGGGGAGCAAACAGG